rnacentral:rRNA from 1 species
UAGGGAAUCUUCGGCAAUGGGGGGAACCCUGACCGAGCAACGCCGCGUGAGUGAAGAAGGUUUUCGGAUCGUAAAGCUCUGUUGUUAAGGAAGAACGAGUGUGAGAAUGGAAAGUUCAUGCUGUGACGGUACUUAACCAGAAAGGGACGGCUAACUACGUGCCAGCAGCCGCGGUAAUACGUAGGUCCCGAGCGUUGUCCGGAUUUAUUGGGCGUAAAGCGAGCGCAGGCGGUUAGAAAAGUCUGAAGUGAAAGGCAGUGGCUCAACCAUUGUAGGCUUUGGAAACUGUUUAACUUGAGUGCAGAAGGGGAGAGUGGAAUUCCAUGUGUAGCGGUGAAAUGCGUAGAUAUAUGGAGGAACACCGGUGGCGAAAGCGGCUCUCUGGUCUGUAACUGACGCUGAGGCUCGAAAGCGUGGGGAGAGAACAGG